CCAGCUGGCAGGCCCAGCCAGCUUCCCCAGGGAGCUGCUCACCUGGGUGCAGUGUUGCUGGUGGCAGCAGAGCUGGGCGCCACCAGGGGACAGGUGCGCUGAAGGUCACCUGUGUGACAGACACCAGGGGCCGGGCAGAGGGAGAAGCUGCGGUUACACAGGGCACAGCAAACACAUCCCAAGGUGACAGUCGGUAAAAAGAUAAAAAACAAAACAGGAGUCGCAUCUCCAAGCCGCUGGGGGACUUCACGACCUUGAAGGAAGAGUUUCCCAAGGACAGCAGACCAGAGACAGGACAACUUAGAAGGGGCCCCACAGCUGGCAGCCAAGCCACAGGCCCCCCGAGAUCACCGCUGGUCAGAGGAAUCGGCAGCUCCUGAGCAGAUGCGGCAGGUGCAGGUCCAGCCAAGCCGCCUGGAAAGCGUCCCUCUGCGCCCCCCCCACCAGCAAGACACCUCUAGUAAACGCAAAACGCCUUCCGGCCCAAACCACACGCUGCAUUCAAACAGGACAUAAGAAGUCAUGCUCACAACUCAACCGAAGAGUUAAAAUACUGAAAGCAAAAGUGAAACAGAAAAACCUGGUGUUCUGAGCUGUCGCCAUUAGCUUUACCUGGUCACACCCGCAGAUGCUCUCAAGAAAAAGCUCCCCUUUAUGCUCAGACAAAACGCCCUGCGGUCAGGAGCCCAAGGUCAGGAGGGAGGGAGGGACCGCCACGGCCCGGGGGCAGAUUCGGGCUGAGGUUAACGGGGCCGCUGGGCUUCUCUGGCAGCCAUGCCCGGCCACGGAAGCCCUGUGCCCAACCCACCCUGGCCCCAUCUGUCCUUCUCUUACUAACGUGAGCGUCUCCCCAAGCUCAGGCCUCCGCAGGGGCACCCAGGCGCCCACCCACCUGUGUCUACGAGGAGAGGCUGCGCCUCGACUUGGGAAAAGUCCCCUUCCACAGCCAUGCUCACGGCCACGUCUUCCCGGCUCUCCCACGCGAAUCUAAAAUUAAAUAGAGCUUCUCUAAA